AUUUUUCUUUUGCUUAGCAAUGCAUGUUUCCUUUUUCUGUGUUUUCAAGAUUCAUUGCCUUGACUUUUCUUGUCGCCUCUUUUUUGCUUUGUGGUCUGUGUCACAGGUGGCUCUGCUCGCCGCUCGAACCCCCCACGGGACACGGCAUCCAAACAGCUUCGCAACACAGAGGUGCCCGAGGGGUCUGCCACGUCUGGUCUGCCUCGCAAGAUUAAGACCUUCAAGAAGGUCGCUCACAAGGAGAAGAGGGUCAAUAU
rnacentral:lncRNA from 1 species